AGUGGAAGCAGAGGCAGGAGGAGUGAAUACAUUGAAUACGACUCUGUCACAGAGGAAGACUACAUGACUGGUGAGCCCAGCAUCAUUUCCACUGAGCAAUAUGGGCAGAAGAGAACAUCAGUUGAACACAGAAUCAGUUUGAAUGAAGGAUCUGUGAUUGGGGAUCCACAGGGAUCCAUCUAUCGAGAGGAAAAUGCCGGAGGAAGAGAUCAGCCUUAAAGAGAUGCAUAGAGUGAGGAAACCUGGUCAUCAGCUGGCGAUUUCAGCUUCAUCACAGGAACAUUUGAUUCCUAAAGUACAGAAUUUCCUUUGAAUCCUCUUUGUGUUAUUGUUAGAAUCUGGAUUGCAAUAAAUCAGCAUCAAUGUUUGCCCUGC